AGCGAACGCUGGCGGCAGGCCUAAUACAUGCAAGUCGAGCGGCCGUAGCAAUACGGCAGCGGCAGACGGGAGAGUAACACGUGGGAACGUACCUUUCGGUUCGGAACAACCCAGGGAAACUUGGGCUAAUACCGGAUACGUCCGUAAGGAGAAAGAUUUAUCGCCGAAAGAUCGGCCCGCGUCUGAUUAGCUUGUUGGUGAGGUAACGGCUCGCCAAGGCGACGAUCAGUAGCUGGUCUGAGAGGAUGAUCAGCCUCACUGGGACUGAGACACGGCCCAGACUCCUACGGGAGGCAGCAGUAGGGAAUAUUGGACAAUGGGCGCAAGCCUGAUCCAGCCAUGCCGCGUGAGUGAUGAAGGCCCUAGGGUUGUAAAGCUCUUUCGGCGGGGAAGAUAAUGACGGUACCCGCAGAAGAAGCCCCGGCUAACUUCGUGCCAGCCGCCGCCGUAA
rnacentral:rRNA from 1 species